UACGUAGGGUGCGAGCGUUGUCCGGAAUUAUUGGGCGUAAAGAGCUCGUAGGCGGUUUGUCGCGUCGGCCGUGAAAUCUCCACGCUUAACGUGGAGCGUGCGGUCGAUACGGGCAGACUUGAGUUCGGUAGGGGGAGACUGGAAUUCCUGGUGUAGCGGUGAAAUGCGCAGAUAUCAGGAGGAACACCGGUGGCGAAGGCGGGUCUCUGGGCCGAUACUGACGCUGAGGAGCGAAAGCGUGGGGAGCGAACAGG
rnacentral:rRNA from 1 species